UGCCGAAACCCGGGAUCGAACCAGGGACCUUUAGAUGUUCAGUCUAACGCUAUUUCAAUUGAGCUAUUUCGGC
rnacentral:tRNA from 1 species